UUUUUCUCUCUCUGUGUGACACAUUUUAGCUUUCUACAAAAAGGGAAUAAAGGGGAAGCAGCUCCGGCUAGCCUUGGAAAAGCUAUUUAGCUUGCAUAUUGUGGAACUGUCUUCCCUAGCUAGUUACUGCCAUUUUAUAACACUGCAGCAUAUUGGAUCAAAGACUAGAACUGCCACCUCCUGUUUACAAUGGGCUGGAGCAGUCACAGAAUUGUCAGGGCUACUUUCUGUCUCGGUGUGAUUGGAAAUAAGACUGAAAACGGUACCUUAGCAAGAAGAUGUGCGUAUGCCUCUAAAGUUGGGUUUUCAAGAGACAAAAGAAACACAAACAAAAAACAUGGGUACUCACCAUGUUCUUAUAACACCAGCUAAGUGGGCUUUGACGUAUGCUGAGAUCAGAGAGCAAGAUGCAUGCUGCAUCAUGGGACCAAGGAUCUUAUGAGGAUAUUUGGUAUCUAUAAUAUACCAUCUGCAUGUGAUUUAAGUCACUCUCCAAGAUAACUCAACAUUCAUAGAAAAAGACAAACAGCAGAGGAGAGACUAUUACUCACUUUCUCCAAGGAAGACAGUCAUUCCAAUGAAAAAUUUACUCGGGUUAGUCAGAAAGCCAUCUCCAAAUUCUAGUAUUUGCAUUGCUCUUGCACUGCUGAAGUUGAAUCAAGUCAACAUGCUUACAGGUGAAUCAGCUUAAUAGCACAGUUUUGACAUGGAAAAAAAAAAGGAGUCUGUCUUGCAAGGGGACAUUUCAAGGACGGGGGAUUAGGAGCACAGGAAAAGCCAGAUGACAUGCUUCAGUGAUAUUUCAAUGAUGUAUGUUCCCUCGUGAUCUGAAAGGAUUCAAAUUUUUGAAAACAGAAGAUAUUUCACAGAAAGUGUUUGCAAACAAGAUGUUUAAUGAUCAGCUGAAUUUACCCUCAGAAAAUGAGUGCAUCUUCAGCAAGUUGCAGACAACAUGAAGCUGAGCAUUGCAGCUGACACAACAGAGGGAAGAGAUGCCAUCCAGGGGAACCUGGACAAGCUUGAGAAGUGGGCCCUUGAGAACCUCGUGAAGUUCAACUAGUCUGAAUACAGGGUUCUGCAGCUGAGUCAGGGCAAUCCUAGACAUGAGUAGAGACUGAGAGAAGAACUCAAAGAGAGCAGUCCUGUGGAGAAGGACUUUUGGGUUCUAGUGAACGAAAAGCUGAGCAUGAGCCAACAGUGAGUACUUGCAGCCCAGAAGCCAAUUGUAUCCUGGGCUGCAUAAAAAGCAGCAUGGUCAGCAGGCUGGAGGUGUUUCUGCACCUCUGCUCUGAUCUCCGGAGACUCUAUCUGGAAUACUACAUACAGGUCUGGGAGCCUCAGCCUUAGAAGGACAUGGACCUGUUGGAGCAAGUCCUUUGGAGGGCCAUGAAGAUGGUCCAAGGGCUGGAGAGCUUCUCCUGUGAAGGCAGAAAUUUCCACAGAGGAUCAGAGUGAACACAUAAUGGAAGAGUCACAUCUUCAGCUGUCUCUACUGAGUAUACCACGCCUUUCUUCUCAGGAAUGGAGGACACAACUCAUUUGCCAUAAGUUCUCUAUGGAUGAGCAUGAAGAAUUAUAAGGGGUAAAAAGACCCAGACAUUUGGGAUAGAGCCUACCAAGAAGGAUCCCUGGAGAGAAUAUCCACCUAAAGAAACACUUGUUUAAAUGGGAGCUAGUUGAUUUGCUCUGAAAGGAAGCUUGGAACUGAUGUGAUACGCUUGUGUAAAAUAGGAGCAGGGAAGUAGCUGGAUCAAGUCUGAUGGCCAAAUUACUUGAUGAUGAAGAAAUAGCCAGAAUCUCCCACUCAGCUGUGAAGUAGAGUUCCAUUAUUUUAUGAUGGGAAGAGAAUUAUCUUGAGAUACAACUCUGUGCAUCUACACUGGUGAUUUUUUGCUUUGGAAUGGCUCUCUUUAGCCAUACGUUUAGGUUGUAACUGUGCCUGGAUUAACUGUUUGCUGAGCACUGUAGAAUGUUUCUAUGCACUUUCCAAGGUUUCCCUCAUGGCUGAGAGUGAUAUUGUGCCUUACUACAUCAUCCAGAAAUUACCACUUGCAAUACAGAAAAAUAACCUUCCAACAUUUUGCUUUCUACAUGCCUGAAGGAUUUUAGCACAACAGCAAAAUAACCUGGGAUAGCUGUACAGAAAUCUAAUUAGCAUUGUCAAUUAGGUACAGCUGCACAACAUGACCCUAUAAUCAUGGGAUUAUAUAAAAACUUCCUACCUUCUUCUUUGUAUAGAAAUAGUAGUGUAGGUGCACCCUAUGUGGAUACAAUGUAAGUUUUAACAGUAUUUUAAAGGACAUCAUAGCUUUUAGAGUAUAAUGAGGAACAAUAGAGACAUUUUCCUUUCACCCUUAAUCUACUUAGGAUUUAGGAUCUACAAUAAGACCACCAAAACCUUUUUUUCUUCUAGAAAUGCCUGUAUAAAAAUAUCAAACUGCGCAUUACAUAAUUUGAAAUUUCUUCAUAUGUAAGAAAAUUUUAAACAAAAUUUAUGUAUUUUGGGAACAUUAUUAACAAGCAAAAGUUUUAGCAAAAUAGAGAACAAAGGUAUUAUUCACAGAAAGAUACCCAUUAAUAAAGAUUUAGUAAAACCCAUGGUUUUACAUUCUGGCCGAAAAUUUACUGGUUGCUGUGCUAGUUUUCCCCAUGCCCUGAAUCUGAGGCAGUGUUGGGAAGACUAAUUCUAUCAAGGAUUUGGCAUAGUUAGUAAUCUGGCUUUACAGAAUACAGGCUGGACAGCGUCAGUCUAGGGCUGUCAGGGCUUCAAGCCAUGUUGCCAUACUCCCACCUGACAAAUAAUCCUAUCCUCUUUAUUCUCUUUUCUUUCUUUAGCAAACAGAUGGUGUUGGUGCCUCACUGUGUCCAAAAAUAGUUUCUAACUUUGCAACCAAUUGUAGUUUCUUCACACUCAAAUGCAUUUCAUCUCAGCCCUUUGCUCUCUAUUUCAGCACUUAUUCAGUGUUCAGCUAAUGGUGAGAUGGUGAGUUUACAGCUCAUUCCUUUAUGCAUUUCUUUUUUUUUUUUUUUUUUGCUUGGGUGCAUAUAGCCUAAAAAAAUCCUAAGUGAAUACAGCCCUACAAAUUGAGUGACAAAAACUGUCAGCUAGAUAUUAAGUUCCUGUAUGCAAUAAAAAAGAAAUCUUAUCAUAAACUUGCUACAACAGCAGAGAGUCUGAUCCUCAGCCAUGAGCCCCUGUACUAUAUUGCCCUAUAUAAAGACAUGAGAUAGCAACAAAAGAGAAGCACUUUAGCCAUCUUGAUAUUCAAUGAAUGGGCUAACUGCUUUUGUGGAAUUGCACUGUUCUUCAAUGUGUUACCUUUAUCAAACCAAGACCCGCAUAAAAAUGAAAUGUCAGACUCCAAUACAGUUCUAGUCAGCCAUACAGUUUAUCUUCUUGUCCCCUGAUAGAGUUCACAAAUUUAAUAACUGUCCUUUAUCCUUGUCUCAGUUCUCUUUCAGCUUUCUAUUUGACUUUCCUUCUGUCCUGACUUGCAGGAAAUUCUUCAUCCUCCUCUCCUAUAGUAAUCAGAAUAGAAGGAACAGAAAACAUACCAUUGCCAUGAUGAAGAGUAUGAGGGGUUAUCAAAUCACUGUGAUGGUCAGAGAAAAACAUGUUCAUUGUUAUUCUACCACAUACAGUUUACCUAUUUAGACAGUAGUUGACUAAAGUAACUGAAUAAUUUAAAUUGAAAAGGUUAUUAAGAAUCUUAGUCAUGGUGUUUCACAUCUUGUAUGGAAAAAAGUAUCAUUUGUUCUUAAUAAAAAAUAGUAGGAUUACUUGGAAGAAUCUGCUGAUAACAUUAUCAAAAUUAUUUUUCAGCUGAUUAGAAAGCAUCAUGAUGAAUUUUGCCCUUUUGUUUUGGUUUCUGUGACUAUAAUUAAGAAUGACUCCUCAGGUCUCCGGAUGGUCUGUAAAUGACAAUUAUACUGGUUUCUGCUUCUUCCAGGACAUUCACAAAUGACAAUAAACUGAACUUGCAUUUUCCUCUGAAUUGAAGGUACUAAAAGAAAAAUUGCUAAACCAAUCUGCUACAAUGUCAACUAUGUGGAGAUAGCUUCUGUGGAGAUGCAUGGAAGCACUAAAGCCUUAAAAUGCUCAGCGAGGUUCAUGUGUGAAACAGCAGCCUGCUCCUUUACAGCUGUGAACUCUCAACUCAAAUUUUCUUCCUCCUAGCUGGUACAGCGCAGCGUUUUGGAAUCAGUGUGAGAAUGAUGCUGAUAACACAACACACUGGUGUUUCAGCUGUUGCCACGUAGUGCUUACCCUGCCUAGGUCAAGGACCUCUCAGGUUCCCAUACUCUGCCAGUGAGUAGCUUCACAAGAAGCUGGAGCACAGCGUGGCAGGACAGAUGACCCAAACCUACCAAAAUGGUGUUCCAUAUCACAGAACAUCAUAUCCAAUAAAUCAGCUUGGGUAAUUUGGCCAGGAGUCAAUCACUGUCAAUCAAUCAAUGUCUGCCUGGGAACAAUCACUGUCUCGGAACAAGUUGGGGAUCAGUCAGGGGGUGAUACCACAAAUUGCAUGGAACAGUUGUUUUGAGGAAAGAAAAAGUCUACUAUGGGAAAAAGCAUCCUUUUUCAUCACCAUGGAAGUGAUGGAAAUCAUCCUAACUGUGCGAACUCGCAAGAAUGUGCCAACAUGUCUGGCAGAAAUAAUAGCAUUUAACUGAAGGGGGAAACAGAAGACACACUGGCAUUUCCACUGCUAGCAAAUAUGCUAUCACUUUCCCUAAUAAUUACUUCAGGUUGCACAUGGUUGACAUUUACAACAAGAAACAAAACAGCAAUCAAAAGCAAAUACCAUGAAAGGUACAAACCUAAAAUAAUAAGAUAACUUGGAUCACAGUAUUUACUGAAAAUAUUGAUUCAUUUCUUGGAAUAUUCUUUGUAUAAAAGAUAUAUUUAAUUAUCUCAUUGGUGUGGCAAUCUGAUUUUCUUAUUAAUAAAAGUAACUUAUGAAAAUUACUAGAUCAAUGUAUUUUCUUCUUGUUUUUAAUUUGCUGUAAAAUAUGUGAAAUAUCAAUAAAAUUUUUUCCAGUA